rnacentral:rRNA from 1 species
GACGAACGCUGGCGGCGUGCUUAACACAUGCAAGUCGAACGGAAAGGCCCUGCUUUUGUGGGGUGCUCGCGUGGCGAACGGGUGAGUAACACGUGAGUAACCUGCCCUUGACUUUGGGAUAACUUCACGAAACUGGGGCUAAUACCGGCUAGGAGCUCCUGCUGCAUGGUGGGGGUUGGAAAGUUUCGGCGGUUGGGGAUGGACUCGCGGCUUAUCAGCUUGUUGGUGGGGUAGUGGCUUACCAAGGCUUUGACGGGUAGCCGGCCUGAGAGGGUGACCGGCCACAUUGGGACUGAGAUACGGCCCAGACUCCUACGGGAGGCAGCAGUGGGGAAUAUUGCACAAUGGGCGGAAGCCUGAUGCAGCAACGCCGCGUGCGGGAUGACGGCCUUCGGGUUGUAAACCGCUUUCGCCUGUGACGAAGCGUGAGUGACGGUAAUGGGUAAAGAAGCACCGGCUAACUACGUG